rnacentral:rRNA from 1 species
UUUUAUAUGAGAGUUUGAUCCUGGCUCAGGAUGAACGCUGGCGGCGUGCUUAACACAUGCAAGUCGAACGAAGCACUUUACCACGAUUCCUUCGGGAUGACGGUUUAGUGACUGAGUGGCGGACGGGUGAGUAACGCGUGGGGAACCUGCCCCAUACCGGGGGAUAACAGCCGGAAACGGCUGCUAAUACCGCAUAAGCGCACAGUACCGCAUGGUACGGUGUGAAAAACUCCGGUGGUAUGGGAUGGACCCGCGUCUGAUUAGCCAGUUGGCGGGGUAACGGCCCACCAAAGCGACGAUCAGUAGCCGGCCUGAGAGGGCGACCGGCCACAUUGGGACUGAGACACGGCCCAGACUCCUACGGGAGGCAGCAGUGGGGAAUAUUGCACAAUGGGGGAAACCCUGAUGCAGCGACGCCGCGUG